UCCUCACCUGUUCCACUGAUUGUGGUUUGCUGUUGGCGUCUUCCUCAGGAAUUCCUCCAAAAAUCUUUGAACCUAAUGAUUUGAUUGCUGGAAUCACUGGCAUUGUUUACCUGGACCGUCACCGGGAUUCUGUCAGUGCUGAUUGUGGCUAAGUACGUCCCACUCUCUUCAAAAAGGUCGGGGUUUUUUUUCCACCUGUCGGAUUAGAUCCUCAUCUGGAUCGAAAGAUGGCGAGCUAAGAAUGGACUAUGGACUUUAUGAUUUGGAAAUCAAUUUAUUCUGAGUCAAUUCUCAUGUGUCUCAUUGUGUUAUUGUAAUUGUAUGUUUUUUUUAAUUCAAAUCACUUAAUAUAUAUUCACCAAAACUAAAAGCACUGCCUCCUGUUUUUUUCACACCUCAGGCUCCUAAAAAGGCCACUCUUCCGAUGCUGCUUAUGUAGCCGCAGUUAGCUGCCUAGCCCAUAACUGUUACAUAUGCAGCACCAGUAGGUGGUGAUGCAAGAAGAUCAAAGAAAAGGCGACCUGAGGAUGCCAGAGACUGUAGCGGGUAAAAACCUGAGGGUAUAAUGACUGAUGCUGUUAGUUAAUAAACCAGAUAACUUUAAAAGACUUGGCUUCCUUUAUGUACUGCAGUACAAACAUUACAAGGUUUAGAGAUGAAUUAAAACAUUGAUCAUUAGAGGCUGUUAAACAUUCACAGAUAAAAUCCAACUUUUAUUUGUAAAAGACGAAAUAAUUAUUUCCUCUAUGGUAGUUUAUUUAUUCGAC